rnacentral:tRNA from 1 species
UCGCGGGUGGUGAAAAGGUAUCACAAGGGUCUUUGGAACCUUUAUUCCAGGUUCGAAUCCUGGCCCGCGAGCCA